rnacentral:lncRNA from 1 species
UAACUCAAAAACCAAAGCAUUUAGAGCAAAUCUGACAUGGGGGUAAAGUUAUUCAUCAGGUCAAGAUCUAUCUGCCCUGAAAUUUUCAGAUGAAUCGGACAUUCUGUUGUAGGGUUGCUGCCCUGAAAUGGUAAUUUUAAGGAAAUUUUGCUGUUUUUGGUUAUUAUCUUGAAUAUUAUUAUAGAUAGAGAUAAACUGUAAACAGCAAUAAUGUUCAGCAAAGUACGAUCUACUAAUAAGUCAACAUGACCAAAAUGGUCAGUUGACCAUUUUAGGAGUUAUUGCCCUUUAUAGUCAAUUUUUAACCAUUUUUCGUAAAUCUUAGUAAUCUUUUAGAAAAAUCUUCUCCUCUGAAACUACUGAGCCAAAUUUAACCAAACUUAGCCAUAAUCAUCAUUGGGGUAUCUAGUUAAAAAAAUGUGUCCGGUAACUCGGCCAACAAACCAAGAUGGCCGCCAUGGCUAAAAAUAGAACAUGGGGGUAAAAUGCAGUUAUUGGCUUAUAACUCAAAAACCAAAGCAUUAAGAGCAAAUCUGACAGGAAGUAAAAUUGUUGAUCAGGUCACGAUCUAUCUGCCCUGGAAUUUUCAGAUGAAUCGGAUAAUCGUUUGUUAGGUUGCUGCCCCUGAAUUGGUAAUUUUAAGGAAAUUUUGCUGUUUUUUUUGUUAUUAUCUUGAAUAUUAUUAUAGAUAGAGAUAAACUGUAAACAGCAAUAAUGUACAGCAAAGUAAGAACUAAAAAUAAGUCAGUAUGACCAAAAUAGUCAAUUGACCCCCUAAGGAGUUAUUGCCCUUCAUAAUCAAUUUUUAACAAUUUUCUUAAAAUUUGAAGAUUUUCAAUAACAUUUUCCACAGAAAGUACUGUUAUAGAUAGAGAUAAUUGUAAGCAGCAAGAAUGUUUAGUAAAGUAAGAUCUACAAACACAUCACCAUCACCAAAACACAAUUUUGUCAUGAAUCCAUCUGUGUCCAUUGUUUAAUAUUCACAUAGACCAAGGUGAGCGAUACAGGCUCUUUAGAGCCUCUAGUUUCACAGAAGUUUUUCUUUACACAGAUAUGUAAAAUGCCCUUUGUGAUGCUUAUCUGGUUUAGUAGAAUUACAUGUAAAACAAGUGAUCAACAAAAUUAAAUCUACAAAACUGCCUAUAUAAAGACCAAAUUCAUUGGAUGAUUUUCUUCUGAGUUAUUGCCCUUUAAUGACAAUAUUUGACUUAUUUUGAAGGUGUUGUGUAUUUCAAUUUUUAUCAGGUGUUCCAGGAGCCUUUUGUUUACUAUUAGUAUGACUAAAAACCGUCCCACUCAUAAAAUUGAAUAAAUUUGUUGAAAAAAAUUGUUUUAGGUCCUAUUUAUGAGCCUGUUUUUCAGUCUUGUAUGCCUGUUUGUUGGUCAAUUUGUGUGUCUGUCCCGAUUCAGGUUAAAAAAAAUUUGAUUAAAAGUUUUUGGUCAAGGUUGUUUUUGAUGAAGUUGAGGUCCAAUCAAUUUGAGACUUAGUACACAUGUUCCUUAUGAUAAAAUCUUCCAAUUUUAAUGCCUAAUUAGAGUUUUGACCCCCCCCCCCCCCCCCCAAUUUUAGGUUCCACUAAAUGUAGAAAAUGUAUGUGCAAGGGGGGCAUCCGCACUACGGACACAUUCUUGUUAUGUUGUUGAUAAUAACUGUUUCGGAUUAAGAAACUAGGUGGUAGUAACAUUUACAUUUUCUAACAAACUAUGAAGUUUUAUAUUCAUACACAUGCAGGGAUAUACGCAUUCUGAAGCUUAAAAUAUAUGUGAAAUACUGACAAAAGUAUUAAGAGACUAGUAACUGUGAUUUUUAGCUAGUUGUAGUUUAAAUUGUAACAUAAGAUUUUGAAUUUUUGUUUUUAUACAAUUUUUCCAAAAA